rnacentral:piRNA from 1 species
UGGUCUGCCAGUGCAGUGAGCAUUUCAACCU